rnacentral:rRNA from 1 species
UACGUAGGGGGCAAGCGUUAUCCGGAUUUACUGGGUGUAAAGGGAGCGUAGACGGCCAGACAAGUCUGAAGUGAAAAUCCAGCGCUUAACGUUGGAAGUGCUUUGGAAACUGCCGGGCUAGAGUGCAGGAGGGGCAGGCGGAAUUCCUAGUGUAGCGGUGAAAUGCGUAGAUAUUAGGAGGAACACCAGUGGCGAAGGCGGCCUGCUGAACUGCAACUGACGUUGAGGCUCGAAGGCGUGGGGAGCAAACAGG